rnacentral:lncRNA from 1 species
AAAAAAAAAAAAGGAGAAGAAUAAAAGCCUAGGGAUUUAGUGGCUAACUGCUAGUUCCUUGUAACCGUGGUAUCACUUGUUUGGUGGCAAGCAAAUGUAGGAGACUCAAGCUCAGAACUCAGAAUCCAGGACUCGGAUGAGAAGCCUGUAGCUCACAGAAGUUAAGCCACUUCCAAAGUCAUAUAAACAGAAAGUAGCAGAGAUGAGCACUCCAAUUCAUUAGCAGAACACCCCACAUCACUCGUUGUCACAUCUAACAAACCGUCAUGGCAAGGCUGCUUAGAAGCUCUGGACUUCCAAGGACCAGAAGAAACGUGACAGCAAUAAUAAUCAUAAUCAAAUCCAAUGGUCUGAGAUUCAAUUUCAUGUUAGUUUGCUCAUUUUUCAAAGAAGAUUUUUGGACUUCUGCUUUGGCCAAGAUGGAGUAAAGGGGAGUGGAUUCAUUUUCCUACCAAAAAAAACCACUAAAAGGACAAAAUAUAUAUUUUCAAGACAGUGUAUAUUAGGCAAUGUGAGACAGUUACUCUGAGAAACAAGACAAAAACUCAGCAAAUUAGGAGUAGAGAAGACUUCCUCAACCUGAGAUAAAGCAUCUACAAAAAUCCCACAGCUAUCAUCAUGUUUAAUAGAGAAAAGACUGAAAAUUUUCCCCUGAGAUCAGAACCAAGACAAGGCUAUCUACUUCCUACAUUUUUAUUCAGCGUUGUACUGAAUGUUCUAGCCAGUGUAAUGGGGGAAAAUAGAGAAUAAAAGGCACUCGGAAAAGGAAAAGGAAAACUGUUUUUACUUGAAGUUGACAUGAUCUCUGUGUAGAAAAUCCAACGUAAUAUACAGAAAAGCUAUUAGAACUAAUAAGUAAGUUUAGGAAUGUUGCAAGAUAGAAGAUCAAUAUGAAAUCAAUUGUAUUUAUAUGCACUAGCAAAGAAUAAUCAGAAAUUGAAAUAAAAAUAAUACCAUUUACAUAUCAUACAAAAGAUAUGAAAUGCUUAAGCAUAAAUUUGCAACAAUACGAAAGACUGGUAUACUGAAGAUAACAAAACAUUGCUGAAAGAAGUUAUAGAAGGUCUAAAUAAAUGAAGAGAUACACCGUGUUCACGGGAUGGAAGAUUGAAUAUUGUUAAGGUGUCUGUUCUCCCCAAUUUCGUCUAUAUACUUGACACAAUGCAAGCAAAAAUCCAAGCAGGUUUUUUUCCUUAUUUGUUUGGUGGAAAUUGACUACAUCAUUCUACAGUUCACAGGUAAUUACAAAAAAUUCAGUAUAGCUUAAAC